ACGCUCAAAAGGCAAACUUGCUUAAAAGCAGGGACGCAAAAUGACAGUGCCACUGAUUUUUGGAGAGGAUUAUUGGCAGGCUGCAUUACAAGA
rnacentral:ncRNA from 1 species